AGGGGUCGGGUAUUUCCACAGCAGAAACAGCUUUAUUCGGUUCCAGUACAGGAUGGAUAUGCUAUUGUACUUAUUGAUUUUGUAUAUCCUGAACAUGAGGGCUAUGUGCUGAGUCCGCCUAUAAGUAGAGAUGAGGUUAGAACUCUUGGAGAGGCUUUAUUCAAAAGGGUCCAGUGGAGUAGGACUUGCAUUCAGGUAUCACCAAAGGCCUCUUCUCCAAAUCCAUUAAGAUCUCCACUUUCUGGGUCAGCCAAAAUCAAUUUGAAGGACCUUGUGGUACCUCAUCAUGUUUCAUCCUCAC
rnacentral:lncRNA from 1 species